CAGUGAGGAAUUUUCCACAAUGGGCGAAAGCCUGAUGGAGCAAUACCGCGUGUAGGAAGAAGGCCCGUGGGUCGUAAACUACUUUUCUCAGAGAAGAAUAAAUGACGGUAUCUGAGGAAUAAGCUCCGGCUAACUCUGUGCCAGCAGCCGCGGUAAUACAGAGGGAGCAAGCGUUAUCCGGAAUGAUUGGGCGUAAAGCGUCUGUAGGUGGUCGAAAAAGUCGACUGUUAAAUCCCAAGGCUCAACCUUGGCUUGGCAGUCGAGUACUUUUUGACUUGAGUGUGGUAGAGGUAGAGGGAAUCCCUAGCGUAACAGUGAAAUGUGUAGAUUUUAGGGAGAACACCAGCGGCGAAGGCGCUCUACUGGGCCAAGACUGACACUGAGAGACGAAAGCUAAGGGAGCGAAUAGGAUUAGA
rnacentral:rRNA from 1 species